AGGUAAUGUCCUAUAAAAACUGUAUUUUGUCAUGUGUAAUUAGUGAAAUUGAACAAAACUUAGAAUAAUUGGAAUUGGGAGUUAUAGGUGUGGCCACCAAUUGGAAAGAAGAAGUUUGAGACUCUAUCUUACCUCCCUGACCUUACUGACGUCGAAUUGGCUAAGGAAGUUGACUACCUUCUCCGCAACAAGUGGAUUCCUUGUGUUGAAUUCGAGUUAGAGGUAAUAAACACUGGACCUUUCGUUUGUCUCUAAUCAUUAUAUAUUAUUUUCUUACAUAGCUAAAAACCAAAGUCAAUAAGCUUAUUUUCGUUUGUCUCUAAUCAUUGUUCAUUGAAUGGAUUUCGUAUUCAUUUAUAGCAUGGAUUUGUGUACCGUGAGCAUGGAAACACACCUGGAUACUACGAUGGACGGUACUGGACAAUGUGGAAGCUUCCAUUGUUCGGAUGCACCGACUCCGCUCAAGUGUUGAAGGAAGUGCAAGAGUGCAAGAAGGAGUACCCUAACGCCUUCAUUAGGAUCAUCGGAUUUGACAACAACCGUCAAGUCCAGUGCAUCAGUUUCAUUGCCUACAAGCCCCCAAGCUUCACUGAUUCUUAAUUAAAUCCUUUCUGGAAUAUUCAAUGUUGACUAUCCGGAACAAUUUUGUAUGGUCAAUGUAAAUUUAAGUAACUAUUAUCUAGCCAACUUAAACGUUGAGCAAUUGUUUUGCGAAAAGUGAAAAAGUUGAAGGUUUAUUUUCUAUCAUUUCCUCUAUAAUUAUAUCUAUUCAUAUCAUUUCAUUUUUGAUCUUAUCACUUUGAACUCUUUCAUCUUCGAUUUAGCUCUUUUAAGCAACAUUUUAUUUCCUUUACAUUUCCCUCCUAAUUUUUGCUUUUGAUUCUCUAGACUAACCUAUAAUAGAAGAGAGACCUUUUUAGAUACCUUUUUGGAAAAACUUUGCACAUGAAAUCAUAACAAAGAUGCCUCAAUAAAUCAAAUCUCGAAAGGGCCAGUACCUUGUGACUUAGAUGGAUGGGCUAGGACGAUCUCGCUUUCGAAAAAAAGAUUUAUUUGAUUUUGCUGUGGGUGGAGCAAUGUUGACUACCUCCGCACUAUUUUCUUGAACGGUUUUGGCUAUUUUGUACCUUGUACGCGCUUCUGCUCACGGGAAAUUUGUGAGCUUUAAGUUGGUAUUGUGGAUCCAUGACCAUAGCUUCUUCCUGUGGCCUUAGGGAGAGUUCUUGCCUCGGUUCCACACCGUCCAUUGAAGUGUGCUAUGAAAAUUCCCCACAAUCUGUCAUGUCUUCCAUGCUUAAGUUGACAUGGUGGAAAUCAUCUUGAGGUGCCACAUUUUAAGUGGGCCGUACGUGCAAUGGUGUGGUGCUCCGAAAGGAACGGUAGCAUGGGUUCCUAUAGCAUUGGAUCGUUUUCUAAACAAUAUGCAUUAUGUGUUUAUAAAUUUUAGUAAUUGUACAUACAUGUCCCAGUUUAAAAACAGAUUAACAUACAUUAUAAUUUUAAGGGCUGCCUAUAGCGUUACACCUAUACUAUAGCGUUUCAACUCCUAUCCACCUGUACUUUCGACCUCUGCCCAAUUCACCUUAUACUUGUUUUAAACUUCCUAAUUCCACCUAAACUAUUAAAUUCUCCAUAAUUAACCAAAAUCAAGAACUCUCUAUAAUUGCGAUUAAAAAUCGUUCAAAUCGCGUUUACUGUAGGCCAACCCGAGUCAGAUCCGACCAGCUUCGAAGACUUCUUUCACCAUAAGGGUUUGACUCGUGUUCAUUUGUUUUGUCGGGUCAACCUCGGAUUAAUAUAAACACAUAUUUUUUUACUGCAAUUUGAACUAUUUUUAAUCGUAAUUAUAGAGAGUUGGGCAGAUGUCGAAAGUACAUGUGGAUAGGAGUUGAAACGAUAUAUAUAGUAUAGUUGUAACGCUAUAGGCAGCCCUAAUUUUAAUAAGAAUGAUAUAAACUCAACUAAACUUCCUCUUCUUAGUUUGAAACUUUGCAUGACCAUUAACUCUCUUAUACUGCAUAAGACAUAAUUAGUGACAUAUUUUUUUCUUUCUAUUAUCAAUAUUUUCGUUAGCAUGUACUCGUUGUAAGAUGAAUAGAGAAAUAAUUGAAUUAUGAAAUAACGAAAUCAAUGUAUAUAUAUAUAAAACAAAAACAAUUUUACGCUGAACAAUUUUUUUUUAAAAAAAGGCAAAAAAAUUGCUUGUUUCAUAUUAUAGGAUGUUUUGGACCUUUUUUUUUGUUUCACAAUAUAUAAUGCUUUGAAGAAAAAAUACAAGUUUCUAUGUAAAACAUUAAAUUUAAUAGAUUAUUGACUAUUUACAUUAUGCAGUAAAUUAUAUCACUGAUUAAAUUAUUUUUAAUAGAUAUUAAUUUUUGUUUUAAUGUUAAAAACUCAAGAUUAGUUAAUUUCUUAAACUUUGUGCUUUCAUCUUUUUUUUUAUCUUUUUUUUUUGUCAUCCGAAAUUAAUUAUACCUCAAAAGAGAGAGUAUUAUUUGAAACAAAGAGAGUAUUAUUUAGCAGAUAAAUGACUUUUAUCUGAUUUAAUUAUAAUUUUAAAAUGUGCGGGAUGAAUUAAAAGAUCAUUUAUCAUUUUUCACGUUUUGUUUUUUUCCAGUUAGGUUUUUGUGAAUGGUUUUUACUCAGCGUAAUCAUGUUUUAAGAACAAGAACGUGAGAAAGUUAACAAAAUACCGUUGCAAGACUUUAUUUUUGUUUUACACAAAAUGUAGUUUUAUAUUUUCAAAGUAGUUUUUUUUAAUAGAAUUUACUUAUAUUCUUUUUAGUUAAGAUAAUCAAAUGGGAAAAUAAAAAUAUUAAUGUGUUAAUACAAGAUAAUAGAAAUUUAAUCAUUUUAAUAUAUAUGUAAAAAGUAUUCAACCGAUAUUUACAAUUAGACAGAACUAAGAAGUAUUAAAUUUCUCACCUCACCUCCCAAAAGAAAGGAGCCAAAAGCAACCGAUCAAGUGGAGACCAGUACUAGCCAUACACAUUCACUCGUUCCCUUACAAGAGAAAGAUAAGAUUAUGGAGUUUUCUGCCACUUGGUCUUAUCCUAGUGGUCCGAAUUGAUAAGGGUUUCAACACCUUUCCUUAAUCCUGUGGCAAUUAACGACGUUAUCAUGAAUUAUGGCCACUUUGAUCAUUAGGGCUUUUUGCCUUGCAGUUCUCACUAUAUAAAGAUGACCAAAUCAAUCGACAAACAAGUAAAAGAAACAACAAGAAGUAGUGAUGGCUUCAUCUAUGCUCUCCUCUGCCGCUAUGGUUACCUCCCCAGCUCAAGCCACCAUGGUCGCUCCAUUCACCGGCUUGAAGUCAUCCGCUGCUUUCCCGGUCACCCGCAAGGCCAAC
rnacentral:lncRNA from 1 species